GAAGGGACCUAGCGUAGUUCGGAAUUACUGGGCUUAAAGAGCACGUAGGUGGUUAAGAAAGUUGGUGGUGAAAUCCCAAGGCUUAACCUUGGAACUGCCACCAAAACUUUUUAACUAGAGUAUGAUUGAGGUAAGCGGAAUUUCUAGUGUAGAGGUGAAAUUCGUAGAUAUUAGAAAGAACACCAAUUGCGAAGGCAGCUUUCUGGAUCAUUACUGACACUGAGGUGCGAAAGCAUGGGUAGCGAAGAGGAUUAGAUACCCUCGUAGUCCAUGCCGUAAACGAUGUGUGCUAGACGUUGGGAAUUUAUUUUUCAGUGUCGCAGCAAAAGCGUUAAGCACACCGCCUGGGGAGUACGACCGCAAGGUUAAAACUCAAAUGAAUUGACGGGGACCCGCACAAGUAGUGGAGCAUGUGGUUUAAUUCGAAGAUACGCGCAGAACCUUACCAACACUUGACAUGUUCGUCGCGACUCUAAGAGAUUAGAGUUUUCGGUUCGGCCGGACGAAACACAGGUGCUGCAUGGCUGUCGUCAGCUCGUGUCGUGAGAUGUUGGGUUAAGUCCCGCAACGAGCGCAACCCUUACUUUUAGUUGCUACCAUUCAGUUGGGCACUCUAAAAGAACUGCCAGUGAUAAGCUGGAGGAAGGUGGGGAUGACGUCAAGUCCUCAUGGCCCUUAUGUGUUGGGCUACACACGUGCUACAAUGGUAUUUACAGUGGGAAGCAAAGAGGCAACUCCAAGCAAACCCUCAAAAAAUACCUCAGUUCGGAUUGUACUCUGCAACUCGAGUACGUGAAGCUGGAAUUACUAGUAAUCGCAGAUCAGCGCGCUGCGGUGAAUACGUUCCCGGGUCUU
rnacentral:rRNA from 1 species